CGUGAGUGAAGAAGGCUUUCGGGUCGUAAAGCUCUGUCAAGUGGGAAAAAAAUCUGAUGAUUAAUAGUUGUCAGAUCUGAUGGUACCACUGGAGGAAGCACCGGCUAACUCCGUGCCAGCAGCCGCGGUAAUACGGAGGGUGCAAGCGUUGUUCGGAAUUACUGGGCGUAAAGGGCGUGCAGGCGGGUUGGUAAGUCAGAUGUGAAAGCCCUGGGCUCAACCCAGGAAGUGCAUUUGAAACUGCCAUCCUAGAGUAUGGGAGAGGAGAGUGGAAUUCCCAAUGUAGAGGUGAAAUUCGUAGAUAUUGGGAGGAACACCCGUGGCGAAGGCGACUCUCUGGACCAAUACUGACGCUGAGACGCGAAAGCGUGGGGAGCAAACAGGAUUAGAUACCCUGGUAGUCCACGCUGUAAACGAUGAGAACUAGGUGCAGCGGGUAUUGACCCCUGCUGUGCCGAAGUUAACGCAUUAA
rnacentral:rRNA from 1 species